ensembl:lncRNA
AUGUGUGUUGUGAUUAAAGAACCACUAAUUCAUUGGUUUCAUACACUAAAGAGAGAGUCUCUGAAGCCUGUUAAAACCAGUUGGAUGGAUUCUGGACAGAAGGAAUGAAUGAGGAUCCAGAUGCAUUUCGUUUGUGAGGAAACAGCCCUCAAAGGCGUGGCAGUUUUCAGAGGGACAGCCUUUAAAAACCAGCAGAAGAAUGAUCUUACAGUCUUCACAAGACACAGCCGAAGAACAUCACACUUUUCUCGAGAACAUAAACAUCUAACAAUGGCAGCAAACUUCAGCCCCCAAAAAAAUGGCCGAAAAGCAAGACCACAUGUCUGUAAAAAGGAAUACAUUGCAAUAGAAGAUCUGAAAAUAAAAGAUGAGAUAAAACAACGACAUAUGAAUAAAACGUAUCUUCCGAAAGACAUCCCUGAUUAUCCUUCUCCUGUUGAAUUUCACAUCACAGAAGUGGCUCAUGUCACUAACAAGACGAGCCUUGAGGGGAUCUGGAAGUCAGAGGGAUUCAUGGGUCUUGAUGAAGAUUCGUUUUCAUGGUGGAGCCUGAAGAUUAAUGAAGCAGAUAUAAGAGCAGCUGAGGAACGUUACCUCGAGAAAUUGUUCCCAGACAUAACCAAAGAACAAAAAACAGCUCAUCCGCCGUUCCUGAGUGAAUUCACCACAUCACCGUUGUUCCUGAACGAAUUCUCACGCUACGGUAACUUCCGCUUCACCUUUCCUCUCACUGAACUGAUGGAAGCCUACAAGAAGCAGAAGUGUGAAGGUCAAGAGCCAGUUCUCCGGAUCUACGGGACCAAACUUUUCAAACAGGAGAUUGAGUAUGUUGUUCUUGUUCACAGCCCUGACCUCAAUGAGAAGUUCAGUCAAUUUCCAAAGCUAACAGACAACCCAUGGGUUGCUUAUGAUGGACAUCAAAUCAUCUGGAGAGCCCAAGCCAUUUGUGAAACUCACAAGUUCCAACUGGUAAUCAGAGGAAACACAGCAGUGACAGAACCCAUGUAUACACAUCAGUUUUAUGUGUGGGAUCACGUUAGCCUUGUCUUUUACACCGAAGAUGUCCUGACCUUCCCUAAAAGAAGGCUUAAGGCAAGCCUCAGUUGUUGUGAACUGGAUCCAAAUGUAGACCUUUCAAAAGGGAAAAACUGCCCUUCACUUGCUGAAGCCGAGAAAUGCAUUGAAAGAUUGCCAGAUGAUGAAUCUGAAAAAGAAGAUGAAAAAGAAGAAUUUAAAUCAGUGGAGGUGAUAAUGGAAGUGGACUAA